rnacentral:lncRNA from 1 species
GUGGGUGGGGGUUGGGGGGAGGUGUUUGUCAUGGCUCAGGAGGUCAACUUUGAAGCGGGGCAUUCCCUACAGGUAGGGAUCUGCCCGGAACGCAUCCCAUCCCAAACUGCAAAACCACAAGCAUCAACAGCAGGAGCCGAGCAAAGUGCUCGGCGGAGGAAGAGGAAGGGCGAGGGAGAGAAAUGGUCGAGUACAGAAGCCUGCGUGUGGGUAAGAAAAUACCCUAACCACUCGCCCACCGGACGCAGGGCGGCUGGGACUGCGAAUCCAGCAGCAGCCACAGCGUAGCAGCGGGCGGCAGCCGCCGAGGCAGCAAUGUCAGGAGGGCACAGCUGGAGGAGGCGGCCGCCAAAGCCACUACCCCACCCCCAGGAAGAUUUGGAAAAGAGGCACUGGCUACUGGAGGAAGGGAGAAAUCACCGAGAGAGCGAAAGAUGUAACAGAAAAAAAAGGCCUUAUGAAGACAUUGCAAAAGGACAACUAUCUGCAAACCAGGAAGACAGACCUCACCAGAAAUCAACCCUGCUGGUGGUACCUUGAUCUUAGACUUCCAGCCUCCAGAAGUAUGAGAAA